UUAUACUUGGUUGGUAAGAAAAGUCAAUAAAGGUGGAAAGGAGAUAAGAACAAGAGAAAAAUCACAAAGUUCAUUCAUCCUUCUUCUUCUUCUCUCUUCUUUGGCCGUGGCAUUUCUUCAUCAUUUCCCUUCCAUCACAAAUUUUCAUUUCUUCACCAAAUUGAUCCAUUAGAAGCUUGUUGGAAUCAUGGGAGUUCAAGGAUCAUCAUCCCUAAGCUAGGGCAAGCAAGAGAGCAAAGCAAGAGGGUGCUAGGGCUUGAGAAAGAGAGGAGCUCAUGAGAGCUAGAACAUGAGGAGCUUGAGGAUUCAUCAAAUUUCUAAGAUAUCCAGAUUGACAGGUUAUAUGUUAGCUUGUCCGAGUAGCGUGGUGAAGCUCCGCUCUGAUUGUGACACGGGGAGAAAAGGGGUUUUGUAUAUAUAUAUAUAAAUUCCUUUAGAAAAUUACUUUGUAAUUGCUUAUGUUUUCAUAUAAGAAUUAUUCUUUGUGAAAAGUAUUGGUUUUGUAUAACUUAUAACGCAUCGUGUUGAUGCGGAGGAUUUUGUAUUUUGUGAUAUUCAAACCAGCGCUUUAUAAUCAGAUUUUCAAUUUUUCCGCUG